GCUUGGAUAGACAGCUAAACUCUCACCCUUCACCUUUGGCUGGGAACUCUGCCAAAACCUAAGUGAACAAUCCUGGGGAUCUUCUGGACAAAAGCUAUAGGACUGUAUUGUGAGUGAGGGCUGAUUCCCUUGAGGUCCCAGAGAUGGCCUGGUCAUAUCCUGGAGGGGUAGGCAGUGUCCAUGACCCCUCCCCCAUUCUAGACCUUGUGCCAACCAUGAUUAGAUGUGAACCCAAGUCCAGCCCUCACUCUGAGACCCAGAGGCUUGUGGAUAUCACUGAAGCAGCUGAGCAGCAGCCCUGCAGGCCCCCAUCCAAGUUGAUGCCUCCUCACUGCUCCUCACCAAGUUCUGUUGCCUGUCACAUGGGCAGUUGGUUUGGAAUGUCCUGGCUUCUGACUGUUGGGAACUGAGCAGUGUACUGGUCACUCCAGGUGGUCCCUGACCACAGCGAUGCCUCAAUGCAGAGUGUGCCUUGAAACCAUCAGAAGACACAGCCGCUAUUCUGCCUACACUACAUCUCAAGACCAUAGGUUUUGUUCGUGAGCUGUGAAGAAUCAGUCCCAUGCCAGUGUGGAAGAGAAAGCCCUAUUUUCUGAUUUGUCACCUGUGAGGACCCUCCUCUGAGGACACUAGCACUCAGACAGAAUCAAAGAGAUGUCCUCUGCUGGUUCACUUCUAAAAUGCUUGCUACAACUACAGGAGCCAAAGCUGGGAACUGAGAACUUGAUCCACGUCUUCCAUGUGGCUGGAAAGCACCCAACUUCUUGAGCCAUCACCACUGUCUCCCAGGAUGCACAUGGGCGGGAACUAGAGACAGAGAGAAAUGUGGCCUCUUAGACAAGGAAGGAAGAAGGCUGUUCUGGGAUGACCCAGGCAGAGAGUGGAAGCAUGCACUGCAAAGCAAGCAAGCCAAGGACUGCAGCAACUGCCAGAAGCUAGGAAGAGACCAUGAAGGGUCCUAGCCUGGAGCAUGCAGAUAGAGCAGAGGGCAGGAGGCUCCUGACCUCAGGCUCUGCCCUCCAGAACCAUGGUCCAGCUUCCAGUUUUAAUGCCACACAGAUUGCAAUAAAGAGGAAUACGAAGAACAGCAACAAAAAGACAACUCAUUUGCCCCUCAACAGCCUUUUGUUCAUUUGUUCCAGGACCACACCCAUAGCACCAGCAGUAACCAAAACACACAGGCGAAUGUGGAUGUGGAAGGAAGAAGACUCUGAUGGCACAGGCAGAGGCUGGGAAGUUUCAACUGCAAAGCAACAACCCAAGGGUGGAGGCAAGCGCCAGAAACUAGAAACAGGCCGUGGAGGACCGUAUGCUGGAGCCUUCAGAUAGAGCAGGGAGCAGCAGGCCUCUGACAUCAGGCCCUGCCCUCCAGAACUUGCCUUCCACGACCAGUGGAGAUGUCUUUGAUCUCUGUCUUCAUUGCUCUCUUCAGAGGUUCCAUCAGCUUUGGACAGCUCUAUAGGCUAGAUGAGUUGGUGAGUGUUCUGCUCUCUUUGGCUGCUCCUUUGUUUUCAGAAACACACAGGUGAUUCUGUAGAAAUUGACCCUAAAAAUCCCUCAGCCUCAUCAGGAUUUCACCGGCUUUACAUGCACAUGUGUGUGUGUGUGUGUGUGUGUGUGUGUGUGUUGCUGUAUGAAAUACAUCAGCUCAGUAAUACAGUGCUAGAAAAAGAAGAUCCAUGUAGGAAAUGGCAUACUAAGAAGGUAGUUAGAGGAAGGAGAGACAUUUGUAUUGACAACCAUGCACACAGCAAGAAUAGUUCUAAGUAGCACAAAAACAGGUGGAUAAAUGUGCGUAGUAUUGUCCUCUGAAUAAUAGAGUAGUUAUGUCCCCUAGCAAUUCCACUGCUG